GUGGCCUAUCGGUUAGAGUGUCUGCCUCUGAUGCGGGAGGUAAUGGGUUCGAUCCCCAGUCAAGUCA